rnacentral:rRNA from 1 species
GUACACACCGCCCGUCAAGUCAUGGGAGCUGGUAGCGCCCGAAGUCGCUGUGCCAACCGCAAGGAGGCAGGUGCCGAAGGCGAAACUCCUGAUUGGGACUAAGUCGUAACAAGGUAACCGUAGGUGAACCUGCAGAAGGAUCA